GAUGCACAUGAGCUCAAUUGAGAGGCUCAUUGCAAAGGGUCUGAAUACUGAUGUAAACAAGGACAGUGUGGUGGACUGUCAGCUUUCAGACCUUUGUGAGGAGGACACUAUAGAAGCUGUCCCCACGGUGACAAGGACAGGCAGAGACUGGACAACAUGCUGAUCCUGAAGAAAGGGCUGAGGGACAAUCACACCCUCACAGGACACACCCUCACUGCCCAAGUGAGCACAAUACAAUAAGCCAGGGUAACAGAACACACACACAGGACAGGACAGAAAGUUGAACAUUGACUGGCAGAGAAUCAACAUUUGGUUAGCCUUGACUAAGAUCUGUUUAUCCUAUUGUAUGAAUGUUGUCAUGCCAUGUUACCAUCGAAGUUGGCUAUACAUAGGAGUUGGCUAAAUGGCACCACACGAACAUUUGGCUGAACAGAAAGAAUGAAACUUCAAUGUACUGGAGGACUACUUUAGAAUAUGUUGGUGUUGUUACAGGAUAGAUAGAAAGGAGAAUAGAAUGUGGUUUGUUUGAGUAGCACCUGAAUGUGAGGGCAAGCGGUUAUGCAUAGCAGAGGACCAAAAUUGUUUUAGGUUGAGGCACUCCAGGUAGUUUGAAUCCGGUUACUAUUAGAGAUGUCUACAUUGAUGCCCCAUCUAAGAAAUAGGGUACCAUUUGGAACGCAUCCCUAGCAUUGAAAGAUGAUAAACUAUUGUUCCUCCUGUUCAGCCUGAACCUGGCAUUGGCCUACACUGAGCUGACAGAGGAGUGUAGGGCAGCCCCUGAAGGUACUCAUCAAUUUCAUGCAAGAAUUCCCUCUUUGUUGCCUUAGGAAUAAAUCUCUCUACUACAGGAGCUGGGUCGUGGCAGAGGUCUGGCUGUCAAACAGACUGAGAACUUGAGGAAGGCAUCCCACGAGCAGAUGGCUCAGUAUGUCCAGACACAUGAUGCAAAUAUUAAAGAUAAUGCUCCAUAUUGAUGUUGAAUAAAAUAGAUUGACUACUGUGCUCACACUGGUUUAGGGAAGUUAUAGAAAUGCUUGAUUCCAUGCCAACUGAUGCCUGUCCCCCUCCCCCACCCUCCAGGUCUAAGAUGCUGCCCAGCGUCGGUCAGAUCAAUGUUGAUUGCAAUAUCCCUUAGAUGAAUGUUGUAUAUACUGUAACAUUAUGGCUAUGAUGGAGAUAACUUGCACCUUUUUUUUACAGGUGUGAAUGAGACAAUGUAUUCCCCUAACCUUGUUCUUUCAAUAAAGUUCAUAUUUUAUUAAUUUUA